rnacentral:rRNA from 1 species
UACGGGGGGGGCAAGCGUUGUUCGGAAUUACUGGGCGUAAAGGGCUCGUAGGCGGCCAACUAAGUCAGACGUGAAAUCCCUCGGCUUAACCGGGGAACUGCGUCUGAUACUGGAUGGCUCGAGUUUGGGAGAGGGAUGCGGAAUUCCAGGUGUAGCGGUGAAAUGCGUAGAUAUCAGGAGGAACACCGAUGGCGAAGGCAGGUCUCUGGGCCAUUACUGACACUGAGAAGCGAAAGCAUGGGGAGCGAACAGG